AGCGAACGUUUGCGGCGGGCUUAACACAUGCAAGUCGAACGAGAAUCCCUUCGGGGAGGAAAGUGGCGCACGGGUGCGUAACACGUGGAUAACCAACCCAUUGGUUUGGGACAACACCGGGAAACUGGUGCUAAUACCAGAUGUGUCGCAGCUGUCUUCAGGCGGUUGCGAGAAAGGCCCGCAAGGGUUGCCAGAGGACGAGCCUGCGGCCCAUCAGCUAGUUGGCGAGGUAACGGCUCACCAAGGCGAAGACGGGUAGCUGGUCUGAGAGGAUGAUCAGCCACACUGGAACUGAGACACGGUCCAGACUCCUACGGGAGGCAGCAGUGGGGAAUAUUGCGCAAUGGGCGAAAGCCUGACGCAGCCACGCCGCGUGAGCGAUGAAGGCCUUCGGGUCGUAAAGCUCUGUGGGGAGAGAAGAAUAAAGCCUGUGAAGAGCAGGCCUUGACGGUAUCUCCUUAGCAAGCACCGGCUAACUCCGUG
rnacentral:rRNA from 1 species